rnacentral:rRNA from 1 species
UACGUAGGGUGCAAGCGUUAAUCGGAGUUACUGGGCGUAAAGCGUGCGUAGGCGGUUGUCUAAGUUUGGUGUGAAAUCUCCCGGCUUAACUGGGAGGGUGCGCCGAAAACUGGGUGACUGGAGUGUCGGAGAGGUAAGCGGAAUUCCUGGUGUAGCGGUGAAAUGCGUAGAGAUCAGGAGGAACACCUGUGGUGUAGACAGCUUACUGGACGAUAACUGACGCUGAGGCACGAAAGCGUGGGUAGCAAACAGG